ensembl:misc_RNA Metazoa_SRP Metazoan signal recognition particle RNA
GCUGGGCAUGGUGGUGGAUGCCUGUAAUCCCAGCUACUCUCAGGAGGCUGAAGCAGGAGAAUCGCUUGAACCCAGGAGGCUGAGAUUGCAGUGAGCCGAGAUCUUGCCACUGCACUCCAGCCUGGGUGACAGAGCGAGACUCUUUCUCAA